rnacentral:rRNA from 1 species
UACGGAAGGGGCAAGCGUUGUUCGGAAUCAUUGGGCGGAAAGGGCGCGUAGGUGGUUCUGUAUGUCUGCCGUGAAAGCGUACGGCUCAACCGUAUUUUGUCGGUAGAAACUGCAGGACUUGAGGCUGGGAGGGGCUGGUGGAAUUCCCUGUGUAGCGGUGAAAUGCGUAGAGAUGGGGGAGAACACUCGUGGCGAAGGCGGCCAGCUAGACCAGUUCUGACACUGAGGCGCGCCAGCGUGGGGAGCAAACAGG